UUCUAUGCCUAACCUUUCAUCUCAUUAGACUAUGUUUUCUAUCUUCUAGAUACUCAUACGCCUCCUCCUCAAUGAUUCCACUUUCAAAUCCUUCUCAUCCUCAAUGAAUCAUCUUCCAUUUGUUCUUUUCAAGAUCUGCCUCCGCCAAGCCCUAUAAUGUUAUCAUCAACGGUGAUAUUUCAAGUGAAGAUCCGAUAGAAUAAAGGGUUAAAAAUAUCAUCAACGGUGAUAUUUCAAGUGAAGAUCCGAUAGAAUAAAGAAUAUGUGGACACAAGGCUUAGAAACUGUUGAAGAGAUGCUCAAUUUGAUUUUUAGAUUGGAGACAUCAAAGCGGAUUUCAAAUCUAUUCGGACAUCAAGGAUUUCUGCAAGUCAUUUUGAAGUCGAUUGACGCCAUGGAAUCGUCCCCUGAAUCACAUAAAAGGAAAGAAGCCUACAUGCUAAUGUUCUUACUGAUGAUGAUAUUCUUGAUAUGACAUAUGAAGAGUACCUCGCAGCCCAUGGCAGAGGCAACCGAAUUUCACAUCAAUCGGCCAGUGAUUGAGUCUUCCCAAAAAAGGCGAGAUUCAUCUGUUAGCAAAGCGAACGAUGUUGACUCUUAUUCACGAUACUGCUUAAAGGAGAGGGCUCGCCAUCUUAAUGGUCAUGAUGAUCAUUACAGUCGUCAUGAUCGUCAUAAUUAUCAUCACAAUUCCUCUCCUAAAUGAGAGUAUGAUGAAGUUAGAUUCCAUUUAUUCAUUGAUUGGUGGGCAGUGAAGUUAUGUGAGAAAGGAAGAUGGUACAGAUAACCGUCUAGGACCAGCCAAACUAUGUGCUUAUUUAUGUUUUGGAAAGUGGAUUGCCACUAUUCUUUGAUGUUAAUAGCAAUGGCACAACCGUAUAAUGGCUCUUAUAAUAGAUAGGACUACGUGGUGGAAGAUCACCUGUUGCUUCUCAAAGUGACAAGGAGGUUGUUUAUCUUCUCUAAUUUUAUAAAUUUCGCAAAAGUUGAAAUUAGAAAAUCUUAGUCGAAUAAUCGUCUCUCCUGGCAAGUGCACUUUUCUCCCCUAACAUCAGUUAACUUAGAAUCUAUGUUGAAUGAAAUUGGGCCUCUAAAGGUAUGAAAGGUUAUUACAUCAUCUUUUUUGUUUCAAAUUUGCUUUAAUUAAUCAGGUUUAUAUUCUUUUUUUCCCGGUUGUAUAAUUCUUUCAUGUUUAAGAUUUUUACUAAUUUCCAUUUAUUUUUUGUUCUUUGUUAUGUAGAUGAGUACGUUAAAUAAAUUUAUUUUUUUUUACUUAUAUGCAGGUUUAUAUCCGGCCUUUUGUCUUCAAUAUGUCUUUUUAUAAAGUCCUUACGUCUGUUACUUUGAAGAUCUUGGUAAGUUUAUUAUACAAACACAUCAUUUUUGGGCAUUUGUUUAUUUGUGGUAUAGUGAUUUAGAUUUUUAUCUAAAGCUACAAAAAACAUCAUAUUCAUCGAUUUGUUUGACUUUUUUAAAUAAUUUUAAAUUUCAAAGUUAAUAAAUAAAAUCUUUAUCAAAUUCGAAUCCUUAUUUUGGUAAAUUAAAUAAAUUAUAUUUCUUCUAUAAUUAUCAAUUAUUAUUGAUAAUAAAUUGAAUUAUCUUAUAAUGGAUUCAAAAUUCAAAGAUAACAUCUUUGUAUUAUGGUCAUACGUUUUAUUAUUUCUUUAAAAUUAAAUUUAACUUUCGAAUCAUCUUUAACAAAUUCCGAUUUUUAUUUUUGGUAAUCAAACCUGUACCAUUAUCAAAAUUUUAUUUUGGGUAACUUUAAAAAAUUAACUUUCUCCUAUUUUAGUUCGUAUAAUUUCUUAAAAUAACUCCCCUAAUUUUUAUUAUAUAUACAUGUUCCAAAACUUCAUCCUCAAACACGGUUUAGAUUUUCUUAAACCUAUUGAAAUAUCAGUUUUCAAAAUGGAACAAUCUCAAUCCUUUGUCAAACAACUAUACGCUCAAGUUGAAGAUCAAUUCCCUUUGGAGGAAAACGAUGCACGGUAGUCCGACUGAAACUUACUGUGUCGACAUGAUAUGUAUGGAUGAAGAGAUUCAGGCUAGCUGUAUGCAUAGGAUUUUGCCAAGGCUUCAGGACCACUUCAAGACCAUCACUUGCACCCAACAAUUCAACCUACAACUACACCAAAAAUAAUCAGAAGUUAACUUUCAGUUUUUUCUCCCAGAUUCAAAAAAGUCAAGAUUGGAAUGGGCCUAAGUAUAACUUCAAUUUUGUGAAUUUCAAGGACGUUGUCCAAAAUCGAAUUAAAGUUAAUACCACUGUUGGUAUGUCAUUUAAUUCAACAUGUUUUAAGCAAUUUGUGAUAUUUCUUUUUGUUUUAUUAUUAUUCAUAAUUGACACCUAUUUUUUAUUUA